UACGUAGGUGGCAAGCGUUAUCCGGAAUUAUUGGGCGUAAAGGGCGCGUAGGCGGCCACGCACGUCCGUUGUGAAAUCGCCCGGCUCAACUGGGCGGGGUCGGCGGAUACGGCGUGGCUGGAGCAAGCUAGGGGGCAAUGGAAUUCCCGGUGUAGUGGUGGAAUGCGUAGAUAUCAGGAGGAACACCGGUGGCGAAGGCGGGUCUCUGGGCAACAACUGACGCUGAGGAGCGAAAGCGUGGGGAGCGAACAGG
rnacentral:rRNA from 1 species